AAAGAACUUCAAUCAGAUGUUCAUGCCUAAUAAUCGGUCUCCUGAUUGCCUUUGCAGACUCAUGGUUCUCUUCUUUUUCCUGGGAAAGGUCAGAGGGAGGCUUCAGUAGGCAUGAAGCGUACUGGAAUUUGGCCUACAGUGGACAAACACACAGAUCUUCAUCGCUACAAAAAACAUCCCUUGAUGUUGCCCCAUCCAUUCAAACCAAACCUCAGAGAGCCCCAGGAAGAAGAACUCAUAGAUGUUUACAGUGCUGGUCGGCAUUGUUUAAAAGUUGCAGGCUUAGGAAAAAGAACAACCAAAAUUUUUGCCAGCUGGGAGAUGAAAAUGACAUGGAAAGGAGGCCACUGAGUAUCUAGCUUCUCCAGAGUGGACAAUCCAAGAGAGAGCCAGACAGAAGCCACAGCGUCUUUUACAGCUCAGCGCUGGAAGUCAUGGCCAUACCUUUCUGCAGUAUCUGUUGGUUACACAGGUCAUCCCCAUUCCGUGCCACAGCAGAACACAUACAGAGAGAGAAAGAGAAUGCUCGAGCACAAGCAGAGGAAACAGCAGGCAGAGGGAGAAGCAGGCUCCCCGCUGAGCAGAGAGCCCGAUGGAUGCAUCUCAGGACCCUGGGAUCAUGACCUGAGCUGAAGGCAGACGCUCCACCGACUGGCCACUCAGGCGCCCCUAAAUGUGUAUAUUUUUGAAAUUUCUUCUUCUCUUUUUAAAAACAAAUUAAAAAUCAAAAGCAUAUAUGGUCAAAAGCCAGUUUGUUCCUGAUCCUAAUCACUAGCUCUCCUCUUCAGACUCGAACCCUUUUUCCAGUUUCUUAUGGUUCCAGAGCCAGGACUCUGUCAUUUUAAUAAGCGACUGAGGCAUUCUUACAGCCCGGUGUGUU